rnacentral:tRNA from 1 species
GUUAAUGUAGCUUAAAUAUUAAAGCAAAGCACUGAAAAUGCUUAGAUGAGUAAUCGCACUCCAUAAACA